AGAUUUCUAGUAGAUAAAUUUCUUACAAACACACAAAAUAAAAAUAUCUUAAUAAAACUAAUGAAUCCUUUGCUACACUGAAAAUCUAAAAGAAACAACUAAAUUUGACAUUUACAGCAUAUUAUGCCAUUUUUGUUUGCCAGGUUGAGGUAAAUAUUUUGUUGAUUAUCUAGGUCCAACUAUUUUCAGCUCAUUGUCUUAGGACAUUAAAAAAUACAAUUUCAAUAAUUUAAGUAGAAAAU